UUUCUUUCCUUUGAGCCUUGCCAUUCUCUGGCAGCACAGCUCUGCAUGCAGGAAACAAUUUGUGUCUACGCAAAUCAAACUGGGAGGUUAACCUUUUGUUAACAGAACCGGGGCACUGGUACCUGCCAAGUUCUCCCUCAGGCCACAGUGUGGGAAGUUUAUCUCCAGGAGAUACCUCACAAGCUGGAAUUAAUGCCACAGUUGAGUGUUGUUCCUUAACUCAUAGUUUUAGCCAUGAGACAAGACAUCCGGUGUUAUUUCAGCAAGUCCAUAUGGUUCUCGAAUACUUUUCCCAAGGCUGUGGGGAGACCAUACCAGAGCACAUAUCCAUCUUGCAGCCCAUGGAGGGCACCACACUGGAGCAGGUGGAUGUUUCCUGAAGGAGCCAUGGCCCAUAGGAAGCCUGCUCUGGAUCAGGGGAAAAGUGUGAGGAGGAAGGGGUGGCAGAGAGGUACAACCAUGCUGUAUGUAGCCUGUCCCCCAGUCUCCCUGUGUUUCUCAGGGCCAGGAAGGUAGAGGCGUUGAGAAUGAAGAGGGGAAGCUGGGCCUGGGAA